rnacentral:rRNA from 1 species
AAAUUGAAGAGUUUGAUCAUGGCUCAGAUUGAACGCUGGCGGCAGGCCUAACACAUGCAAGUCGAACGGUAACAGGAAGCAGCUUGCUGCUUCGCUGACGAGUGGCGGACGGGUGAGUAAUGUCUGGGAAACUGCCUGAUGGAGGGGGAUAACUACUGGAAACGGUGGCUAAUACCGCAUAACGUCGCAAGACCAAAGAGGGGGACCUUCGGGCCUCUUGCCAUCAGAUGUGCCCAGAUGGGAUUAGCUUGUUGGUGAGGUAACGGCUCACCAAGGCGACGAUCCCUAGCUGGUCUGAGAGGAUGACCAGCCACACUGGAACUGAGACACGGUCCAGACUCCUACGGGAGGCAGCAGUGGGGAAUAUUGCACAAUGGGCGCAAGCCUGAUGCAGCCAUGCCGCGUGUAUGAAGAAGGCCUUCGGGUUGUAAAGUACUUUCAGCGGGGAGGAAGGUGUUGUGGUUAAUAACCGCAGCAAUUGACGUUACCCGCAGAAGAAGCACCGGCUAACUCCGUGCCAGCAGCCGCGGUAAUACGGAGGGUGCAAGCGUUAAUCGGAAUUACUGGGCGUAAAGCGCACGCAGGCGGUCUGUCAAGUCGGAUGUGAAAUCCCCGGGCUCAACCUGGGAACUGCAUUCGAAACUGGCAGGCUUGAGUCUUGUAGAGGGGGGUAGAAUUCCAGGUGUAGCGGUGAAAUGCGUAGAGAUCUGGAGGAAUACCGGUGGCGAAGGCGGCCCCCUGGACAAAGACUGACGCUCAGGUGCGAAAGCGUGGGGAGCAAACAGGAUUAGAUACCCUGGUAGUCCACGCCGUAAACGAUGUCUACUUGGAGGUUGUGCCCUUGAGGCGUGGCUUCCGGAGCUAACGCGUUAAGUAGACCGCCUGGGGAGUACGGCCGCAAGGUUAAAACUCAAAUGAAUUGACGGGGGCCCGCACAAGCGGUGGAGCAUGUGGUUUAAUUCGAUGCAACGCGAAGAACCUUACCUGGUCUUGACAUCCACAGAAGAAUCCAGAGAUGGAUUUGUGCCUUCGGGAACUGUGAGACAGGUGCUGCAUGGCUGUCGUCAGCUCGUGUUGUGAAAUGUUGGGUUAAGUCCCGCAACGAGCGCAACCCUUAUCCUUUGUUGCCAGCGAUUAGGUCGGGAAC